GACGAACGCUGGCGGCGUGCUUAACACAUGCAAGUCGAGCGGAGCGGCGAACGGGUGAGUAACGCGUGAGUAACUGCCCCACUCACUGGGAUAACAGUUGGAAACGACUGCUAAUACCGGAUAGCGGGGGAUGACUCGCGUCCUAUCAGCUUGUUGGUGGGGUAGUGGCCUACCAAGGCGACGACGGGUAGCCGGCCUGAGAGGUCGACCGGCCACAUUCGGAUGAGAGACGGCCCAAACUUCUACUGUGGGCAGCAGUGGGGAAUAUUGCACAAUGGGGGAAACCCUGAUGCAUCUACGCCGCGUGCGGGAUGACGGCUUUCGGGUUGUGAACCGCUUGCAGCCAUUACGCGGUAGUGGCAGAAGAAGCACCGGCUAACUACGUGCCAGCAGCCGCGGUAAUAC
rnacentral:rRNA from 1 species